UUUGCAGCUACAAAUGGAACAAAUUCCACUCUACACAUUGUCAUUGGGUGUCUUGUUUAGAUUUUGCAUUGUCUGAACAUCUGUUGUGACCAAUUGCAUAAGUUUGGAAUCCUAUUGACCUGGGACACUAUUUGUGUUACCAUAGGGAUUAAAGAAAUCCAGAUUGUGUCUUCCAGUAGUGUUGUUGGCCCUAAUUCUGGGUGAAUUGUCAUAUCAGAGUUGAAGGAGAAAAUAAUCUUGCAAACUGGUGGAGGAAAAUUCAGCAAAUGUGGAGCUUUACAAUGGCUGGUUUUGUUGGAAAAUUAAGUGCCACCUUUUUCGAUAAAUCAGCACUAAUUGAAGCAUUUUGCCAACUUCUGGAAAAGGAACUAGUUGAACAGUAUGAAUUAGUUUGGGGGAGUUUUGAUAAUUUUCAGGAUGUACAGAAGAUUCAUUUGAUCUACAGCAUCUGCAGUGAAAAGGAUUCUAAAAUUAUUGGCACGACUAGCUGUGAUUGUGGUUCAAGAAAAGGAAAUGUUCCUCUAAAGGAACUUCUAUUAUUAGAAAUAUAUUUUCAUUAUCUUCCAACGUUUACCUUCAUAGAAAAUUUGAAUUCUUCUUGUUCCCGUUUAUAUUUAUUUCAUUUAGGAAUAAAAUCAUUUCAUGUCU